rnacentral:rRNA from 1 species
UACGAAGGGGGCGAGCGUUGUUCGGAAUUACUGGGCGUAAAGGGCGCGUAGGCGGUCUGUCGCGUCGGCUGUGAAAACCUGAGGCUCAACCUCGGGCCUGCAGUCGAUACGGCAGACUAGAGUUCGGUAGGGGAGACUGGAAUUCCUGGUGUAGCGGUGGAAUGCGCAGAUAUCAGGAGGAACACCGGUGGCGAAGGCGGGUCGCUGGGCCGAAACUGACGCUGAGGAGCGAAAGCGUGGGGAGCGAACAGG